rnacentral:rRNA from 1 species
UACGAAGGGGGCUAGCGUUGCUCGGAAUCACUGGGCGUAAAGGGUGCGUAGGCGGGUCUUUAAGUCAGGGGUGAAAUCCUGGAGCUCAACUCCAGAACUGCCUUUGAUACUGAAGAUCUUGAGUUCGGGAGAGGUGAGUGGAACUGCGAGUGUAGAGGUGAAAUUCGUAGAUAUCAGGAGGAACACCAAUGGCGAAGGCAGCU